AACGAACGCUGGCGGCAUGCCUAACACAUGCAAGUCGAACGAGACCUUCGGGUCUAGUGGCGCACGGGUGCGUAACGCGUGGGAACCUGCCCUUAGGUUCGGAAUAACUCCCCGAAAGGGGUGCUAAUACCGGAUAAUGUCUUCGGACCAAAGAUUUAUCGCCUUUGGAUGGGCCCGCGUUGGAUUAGCUAGUUGGUAGGGUAAAAGCCUACCAAGGCGACGAUCCAUAGCUGGUCUGAGAGGAUGAUCAGCCACACUGGGACUGAGACACGGCCCAGACACUGGGGGGAGGAGGAAGGGGGAAAUAUGGAAAAGGGGGAGAAGGCUGGACCAAGAAAGGCGGGGGGAGGAAGAAGGGCUUGGGGGUUGAAAAGCUUUUUACCCGGGGAGAAAAAGAAAAGAACGGGGAGAAAAAGCCCCGGCAAACCCCGGC
rnacentral:rRNA from 1 species